UGAAGGUAAUAAAAGAAAGUUUAAACUGUCUACCUGAAAAAUUCUGGACAGCAAACUAGUUGCACUAAACAACUGUAUGUUCUCUACAGGGAAACAUUAACAGUCCAAUUGCUUGAGAUUUUUUGAGAGGCCAAAGGAGCAGCAAAAUACAUGUUGGGGAAAAAGCUUGAAUUGGCAGUGGGUCUCCUACAAAAGGAAAGUUGUUACUGUGAGGAAUCUGCCUAGGAGCCAUGAGUCUUUAGAGGAGCAACAAAACAUCAAGAAAAUCAACCUAAACAUGGAAAUACAGUUCAGAGGAAGCACCUGUUUUUAUCCUGGAUGAGAAAUUUUCUCUGGAAAUUUUCCAUCAGAAAGUGCAAUUCAACUCAUUUCAAAAGGUAGAAAAUUCUAAUUCUAAUACCCUGAGGAGAGAGGGGGUUUUAAUUAGCCAUGGGACAUCCACGGAAAUCUGUACUCCGGGAAGACUGCACAUGGAUCCUGACACCUCCAGCAAAAAGACAACGUCUGACCUUGUCCCAGAAUUUCUGAGUUUCUCACUGUCUGCCACAAUACCUAAUUCCUAAAAGAGUGGUUUUCAGGAACUCUCACUGGUCCCGUCUUCUUUGCCUAAGUCAUAGUAGUAAAAUUAAUGAAAGCGAGGUGUAUUCAGUAUAUACUAGUUCUACAACUAGUCAUGCAAUUAUUUCUUUCACCUCCUAAAUCUGUGGACUCCUGACUUCAUUAAAUGGUUAAGGAGACCUUAGACCUGACAUGGUGCCCAGGAAGAAUGCAGUGAAGAUUCCUGCUUGUGACUUUAGUACUCUUUAAGCUCAGGAAGAAAACCAGAGCGCCCAGUAUGU
rnacentral:lncRNA from 1 species